rnacentral:lncRNA from 1 species
CCCUGCCUGAAAAUAAUAUAUCUCGAUUACAGAGGUCGAUUACAGAGGUGGCCAAAUCAUCCACCCAAACUGGUAUGUAUCUUUUAAUCGUGUCUGCAAUAUGCAAAAUUUCUUUGUACAUUUGUUGAAAGAUUUCAUGAUUAAUUAGAUAUGACUAAAUUAGAAAUAUUUAGCUAUAAAUAUGUAACUAUUGAAUACUUAGGUGCUUUAUAUACUUGUAUUUUCUACUUCAGCCCCCUAACUUAAUGAUUCUAGCUCCACCCCAACGAGUAACAUAGUCGCCUCCAUGUGUAGAACAACAAUAGCAAACCACCAAAAUGGUCCAUAAUGAGAAGUAUCUAGGAAGGCCAAUAAUGUCUUUGUCAAAGACUCAUGUUAUCAUUCAUCUAAUCUCAUACAUGUUUACAUACAUUAUUGGAAAACAUGAGACAUAAAAACAUAUGGGAGCUGAUUUUCCCAUUCUUUUUUAUCCACAUACACAUCCUUUUGUUUAUAAAAAAAAAAAAAAAAUUAUUUUGUACUAAAACAUAUAAGGAAGUGUAAGUGAACAAAAGAUGAGUGGGAAAAUCGGCUCCCAAAAAUAUAACCAAUUAUAUUGAGCUAAAAGUGUCAACAAUCCUUUCAACAUACUCAUUAAAUAUCUUUAGCCAUAAUUAACCCUUUUGUUAAUGGGAACCAAAAAAGAAAUAGAGGAAGCUAUACAUUUUUAAUUGAAUAAACAGGGCUUGAAUGGGAAGCAGGUUGCAAGGGAACUUUUCUUUUUGCAAAUAUUGAAGAAUACCUUGGAUGACAUUUUGUGAAUUUCUUGUAACAAGGUCAAAGGUCUUUCCUCAGUUAGUUCCACAGAUUGUAGAAAGAGCUCUAAGCUUGCCUGAAAAUAAUAUCUUAUACCAAGGAGGAGUCAUCUAGUCAGCCAAUGAUUCAACUAAAGUACUUACGAAUAAGAUGGUAAGCUUCAUCAUCCUCAACCUAUGAUCAUAAUUUGAUUUGACCUACCAACGUUAUCAAUUAACUCUAGAGUUUUUGACAUGCAAUAUUAUAAAUUUAAAAAGCACAUAUACUGACCGAUGCUGGCUUACUAACUAAAGUAAAAUUUUGGCUCUGCCAUACACAUGAUGACAGAGGGGCCGUGCACAUAUUUCAGGGACGCCCCAUAGGCAUGGCGAUAGAGGUAUAGCGCAUGAUGGUGCUUCAAGCAUACCAACCAGUGAUGAGGGAUCGAUAAUUGGAAAUUCGAGUGAUUCAGUGGCGAUUGCCAUACAGCGAUUAAUCCGAGGUACGCCUGAUCUGAGGCCUGAGUGUUGCAUCUACAAUGUCCCGGAGAGAUUUCGCAAGGGGAAUGAAGAAUUCUACAAACCUCGUGUAGUCGCAAUCGGACCUUAUCACUUCAAAGAUGCAAGCUAUGACAUGUGUAAGCCCAAAUACGUGGACGCCUUUUUCCGCCGGAACAAGCUCAACUUCGACCAUUGUCUUGGAUUAGUGAGAGCAUGGGAAGCAAAAGCAAGGAGCUAUUAUGCGAACCAUAUUGAACUAAGUAGUGAUACGUUUACUUUUAUCAUGCUGCUGGAUGCAACUUUUGUUUUGGAACUCAUGCUUAGGCAUCACUUUUCUAGAUACAGAGAUAAUUAUGAUCCGAUAUUUCACAAGCCGAGGAUGAUUGAAGACGUUUACCACGACAUCUUGUUGAUCGAAAAUCAACUUCCCUUCUUCGUCCUUGAGGGUUUGUACGAGCAAAUCGGUACGAAUAGUCUCUCUCCAGGAGAUGAUCAUCUUUCUUUCACCAUGCUAACUCAUGAGUUCUUCAAGCAUUUCGUGAAAAUUGAUAAGUUUCCCGCCCAUGUUGUCUCUGCUAAUGAUCAAGUGAAUCAUUUUGUUGAUUUUAUACGACGCUACUACUUGGCGCCGCCACGGCCUCAAGAGGACCAGCAAAAUCUUGAAAUUCCACCAAGCGCGACGGCACUCUAUGAGGCCGGAGUUAAGUUUGAUACAAUUAAAGGCAGUGCCUCCUUGCUUAACAUAGAAUUCAAGAAUGGUUGUCUCAAAAUUCCAAAUUUCAUAGUAGACGACUGGACAGAAACUCUCUUCAGGAACCUGAUUGCUUUCGAGCAGUGCCACUACACAGAGAAGUACAUUUCCCAGUUUAUGUUCCUCAUGAUGUGCAUGAUCAGGACUUCAAAGGACGCAGAUUUACUCAUGGACUCCGGAGUCAUAUCUAGCAUGCGAGGGAGUAGUAAAGACCUCUCCAUUCUAUUUAACCAUAUCAGCAGAGACGUUGGCUUCGGAGAGCCUUUUUAUUACUUUCAGAUUUGUGCAGAUCUAAAUGCAUACUGCAAUACCCGUCGGCACCGGUGGAAGGCAAUUCUGAAGCGAGACUAUUUCAACACUCCAUGGAAACUUGCUUCUACUAUUGCUGCAAUUAUACUCCUUGUGCUCACAUUCAUCCAAACCAUAUGCUCUAUCUUAUCCCUCUAAGGCCUUGUUUGGUUCACGGAAGAGAUUUGAGGGGAAAUCACUUCCUACGUUAUUUUCCAAUGGAUGGGAAAUGGAAGAUUCAUUUUCCAAGUAUGGAGAGCUAUCACUUUAUUUCAUUUUCCAUGUUUGUUUUGUGUAGGAAU